rnacentral:rRNA from 1 species
CAAGUCGAACGAUGAAGCCCAGCUUGCUGGGUGGAUUAGUGGCGAACGGGUGAGUAACACGUGAGUAACCUGCCCUUGACUCUGGGAUAAGCGUUGGAAACGACGUCUAAUACCGGAUACGAGCUUCCACCGCAUGGUGAGUUGCUGGAAAGAAUUUUGGUCAAGGAUGGACUCGCGGCCUAUCAGCUUGUUGGUGAGGUAAUGGCUCACCAAGGCGACGACGGGUAGCCGGCCUGAGAGGGUGACCGGCCACACUGGGACUGAGACACGGCCCAGACUCCUACGGGAGGCAGCAGUGGGGAAUAUUGCACAAUGGGCGAAAGCCUGAUGCAGCAACGCCGCGUGAGGGACGACGGCCUUCGGGUUGUAAACCUCUUUUAGCAGGGAAGAAGCGAAAGUGACGGUACCUGCAGAAAAAGCACCGGCUAACUACGUGCCAGCAGCCGCGGUAAUACGUAGGGUGCAAGCGUUGUCCGGAAUUAUUGGGCGUAAAGAGCUCGUAGGCGGUUUGUCGCGUCUGCUGUGAAAUCCCGAGGCUCAACCUCGGGUCUGCAGUGGGUACGGGCAGACUAGAGUGCGGUAGGGGAGAUUGGAAUUCCUGGUGUAGCGGUGGAAUGCGCAGAUAUCAGGAGGAACACCGAUGGCGAAGGCAGAUCUCUGGGCCGCUACUGACGCUGAGGAGCGAAAGGGUGGGGAGCAAACAGGCUUAGAUACCCUGGUAGUCCACCCCGUAAACGUUGGGCGCUAGAUGUGGGGACCAUUCCACGGUUUCCGUGUCGUAGCUAACGCAUUAAGCGCCCCGCCUGGGGGAGUACGGCCGCAAGGCUAAAACUCAAAGGAAUUGACGGGGGGCCCGCACAAGCCGGCGGAGCAUGCGGAUUAAUUCGAUGCAACGCGAAGAACCUUACCAAGGCUUGACAUAUACCAAGAACGGGGCCAGAAAUGGUCAACUCUUUUGGACACUCGUAAAACAGGUGGGUGCAUGGGUUGUCGUCCAGCUCCGUGUCGUGGAGAUGUUGGGGUUAAGUCCCCGCAACCAAGCGCAACCCUUCGUUCUAUUGUUGCCAGCACCGUAAUGGGUGGGGAACUCCAUGGGGAUACUUGCCCGGGGUCAACUCCGGAAGGAAAGGUGGGGGACGAACGU